rnacentral:rRNA from 1 species
CCUACGGGCGGCAGCAGUGAGGAAUAUUGGUCAAUGGACGUAAGUCUGAACCAGCCAUGCCGCGUGCAGGAAGAAGGAUCUAUGAGUUGUAAACUGCUUUUGUAGGAGGAUAAACGUAGACACGGGUAUAUGUUUGAAUGUACCGUAUGAAUAAGGAUCGGCUAACUCCGUGCCAGCAGCCGCGGUAAUACGGAGGAUGCAAGCGUUAUCCGGAUUUAUUGGGUUUAAAGGGUGCGUAGGCUGUUUUUUAAGUCAGCGGUGAAAGGUUGGGGCUUAACCAGAAAAUUGCCGUUGAUACUGGAAGACUUGAGUGUGUAUGAGGUAGGCGGAAUGCGUGGUGUAGCGGUGAAAUGCAUAGAUAUCACGCAGAACACCGAUUGCGAAGGCAGCUUACUAAGCCAUAACUGACACUGAAGCACGAAAGCGUGGGGAUCAAACAGGAUUAGAUACCCGGGUAGUC